rnacentral:rRNA from 1 species
AGCGAACGCUGGCGGCAGGCCUAACACAUGCAAGUCGAACGAAGUCCUCGGACUUAGUGGCGGACGGGUGAGUAACACGUGGGAACGUGCCUUUAGGUUCGGAAUAACUCAGGGAAACUUGUGCUAAUACCGAAUGUGCCCUUCGGGGAAAGAUUUAUCGCCUUUAGAGCGGCCCGCGUCUGAUUAGCUAGUUGGUGAGGUAAAGGCUCACCAAGGCGACGAUCAGUAGCUGGUCUGAGAGGAUGAUCAGCCACAUUGGGACUGGGACACGGCCCAAACUCCUACGGGAGGCAGCAGUGGGGAAUCUUGCGCAAUGGGCGAAAGCCUGACGCAGCCAUGCCGCGUGAAUGAUGAAGGUCUUAGGAUUGUAAAGUUCUUUCACCGGGGACGAUAAUGACGGUACCCGGAGAAGAAGCCCCGGCUAACUUCGUGCCAGCCGCCGCGGUAACAC